AUUGAACGCUGGCGGCAUGCCUUACACAUGCAAGUCGAACGGCAGCACGGGGCAACCUAGUGGCGAGUGGCGAACGGGUGAGUAAUGCAUCGGAACGUACCUUUCAGUGGGGGAUAACGUAGCGAAAGUUACGCUAAUACCGCAUAUUCUGUGAGCAGGAAAGCAGGGGAAUGGAAGACCUUGCGCUGAUUGAGCGGCCGAUGUCAGAUUAGCUAGUUGGUGAGGUAAAGGCUCACCAAGGCGACGAUCUGUAGCGGGUCUGAGAGGAUGAUCCGCCACACUGGAACUGAGACACGGUCCAGACUCCUACGGGAGGCAGCAGUGGGGAAUUUUGGACAAUGGGGGCAACCCUGAUCCAGCCAUGCCGCGUGAGUGAAGAAGGCCUUCGGGUUGUAAAGCUCUUUCGGCCGGGAAGAAAUCGCACGGGCUAAUACCCUGUGUGGAUGACGGUACCGGAAUAAGAAGCACCGGCUAACUACGUGCCAGCAGCCGCGGUAAGAC
rnacentral:rRNA from 1 species